UACUCACUCAACCUGGGUGUGAUGUGUGCACUCGUUGCUCGGCCCAUCACAACCUCCUUGAGUGAGCGA
rnacentral:pre_miRNA from 9 species